rnacentral:rRNA from 1 species
AGUAACGGCGAGUGAAGCGGGAUGAGCUCAAAUUUGUAAUCUGGUGGACUCAGUUCAUCCGAGUUGUAAUCUAUAGAAGUGUUUUCCGCGCUGGACCGUGUCUAAGUCCCUUGGAACAGGGUGUCAGAGAGGGUGAGAAUCCCGUGCUUGAUACGACCACCAGUGCUAUGUGAUACACUUUCAACGAGUCGAGUUGUUUGGGAAUGCAGCUCAAAAUGGGUGGUAAAUUCCAUCUAAAGCUAAAUAUUGGCGAGAGACCGAUAGCGAACAAGUACCGUGAGGGAAAGAUGAAAAGCACUUUGGAAAGAGAGUUAAACAGUACGUGAAAUUGUUAAAAGGGAAACGAUUGAAGUCAGUCGUGCUCUCUGGGACUCAGCCGGUUCUUCCGGUGUACUUCCCAGUGAGCGGGUCAACAUCAGUUUAGAUCGCUGGAUAAAGGUAUUAGGAAGGUGGCUCCC